rnacentral:lncRNA from 1 species
AGUAAUAUUUAGUUCACUUUGGCCAGUUGCACGUUCAAAAUUCUAUAGAUAACACACAAUCCUAAAAAUAUAUAUUGCAGUAAAGAAUGGUGUAUACCAUUGUUUCCAUCAUGUUUUGCUUGUUAAAUGAGGCAUAAUAUGAAUUUAUUCAGGUCUAAAGUGACUUAGCAGUACUGCUUUGUUAGUGGGCAUGUCUUGGAUAAUUGACUAUGUGCUGUUUUUAACAUUGAAAGCUUAUCCUCUUCCUGGCUGUUUUUUUAAGGUCUGGAUGGAAACACAGCCACAGUCUUCCAAUGAAGCAAGCUGAUUUUUCUCCCUGAUGGGCUGAAGAAGCACAGGUUGUCCUGGUCAAUGAGGCCUGCCUUCUCUGUGAUGUUCAGACAUUUUCUGGGAAAUUGCCAUGGCAAGAAAAAUUGCAUCUCUCCUCUCCUCCUCCUUCUCAUUUUCUCUCCCUGCAAAGAAUAUUGUUUGUGAAAGCAGCACAACACAGCAACCCUGAUAGCAAGACCAGACCGGAACCCACCUGAUGAGACAAGACAGCAACACUCACACCAGGACAAUGAGAGAACUCUUAGAGGACAACAAGAUCAGCUGCAAAAAGGUAGGGAAGACACCUGAGGGUUAGAGAGGAACAGGUGUGGCUUGGAGGCUGAGCAGGUUUUUCUCAGGACUUUUCCAACACUUCUAAG